AGCUGCCUCAACUGAUCAAGAUGCAGAGGGAGGUCUGAAGCUACCCUUUUGUGAUAGCAGUGAAUGUUGCCUUGGAGCCAGAAGCGUGUCUGUUUCACCAUGCAAUUCUCUUUACUCCAGUGCUUUCAGCUAUAAGAACCAAGUCAGAUAAUGGCUCAAAGUGGUAAGUAUUCCAUAAAUGGGCAUUACUUGGAAUUUGGUUGUUUUUUUUCCUGUUGACUUUAGUCUGCUUAAGGAGUAGUAGAAAGAGGCUAAUGAAUAUUGCUUAGAGCUAUAAGGCUUCCAGUUUAUUGUAAAAUAUGCUGAAACAGGAUUAUUGGUGCAUUUGUAAUCCCGGUGGUGAACUGUUCUGCUCUGGAGCACAACUUUUCUGCAUGGGAGCAUAGCGUAACCAUUAUUUUAAGAAUAAGAAUGGUACAAAUUUUGGAAAAAAAGUUUUCAAACGAGUCUGCAUUGCAGCACUGUACUCUCCUUUACUUCUUACUCUGCUUUGAGUGAGGUUUAUGUCAGAGUGAGAGAUCUCUCUGUCAAAUGUUCCCUCAAGUGGAAGAGCACAUCAAACCCACACACGUCCACCUGUACCCAGCAAGUUGUUGUGCUGGAUGUCCAGAUGAUGGGGUUUGCUCAUGGGGGUCUAUGCCAGCAGCAUACUGAAGUGGUUAAAACUUCCUCUUCUGUAGCCCUGCCAAGGGAACAUGCCAGCCAAUGAAGCCUUCCUCAAAACCACCUUUACUGGAUGUCUCCUGCUUAGGAGACCAUUUCUGACAUGUGCAUCAAUACCUUUAGCUACUCUCAAGACCACUUAGUAGAAAACCUGUUUGUCCUGCUGCUUCUUAGGUGUCAAACCCUGCCUUGCUGCUACUGUUUGGUCUGUGCAGGUAUUGGCUGAAAAUUAAGGGGAAAGUAUGUAUGUGAGCUAUGGAAAAAAACCCCUGUGUUUUAAAAUCCAAGCUGAUGUGUGUUGUGUGCUUCUUCUUGCAGAACUGAGAGAACCCUUGAUGUCUUUAUAGAGGAAGAACCACCACAGUGUGAGCGGCUUAUGAGAACUCAGCUAUAGGAAGAUGAUACUGAGAAAAU